rnacentral:rRNA from 1 species
GACGAACGCUGGCGGCGUGCUUAACACAUGCAAGUCGAACGGUGAAGCUCCAGCUUGCUGGAGUGGAUCAGUGGCGAACGGGUGAGUAACACGUGAGCAACCUGCCCCUGACUCUGGAAUAAGCGCUGGAAACGGCGUCUAAUACUGGAUACGAGAAGGGUCCGCAUGGGCACUUUCUGGAAAGUUUUUCGGUUGGGGAUGGGCUCGCGGCCUAUCAGCUUGUUGGUGAGGUAAUGGCUCACCAAGGCGACGACGGGUAGCCGGCCUGAGAGGGCGACCGGCCAAACUGGGACUGAGGCACGGCCCAGACUCCUACGGGAGGCAGCAGUGGGGAAUAUUGCACAAUGGGCGAAAGCCUGAUGCAGCGACGCCGCGUGAGGGAUGACGGCCUUCGGGUUGUAAACCUCUUUCAGCAGGGAAGAAGCGAAAGUGACGGUACCUGCAGAAGAAGCACCGGCUAACUACGUGCCAGCAGCCGCCGUAA